CGGGGUGUGGCGCAGCCCGGUAGCGCACCUGCUUUGGGAGCAGGGGGUCGGAGGUUCAAAUCCUCUCACCCCGA
rnacentral:tRNA from 1 species